UGGAUGGACGAGGAAUGGAAAGCUUCCAGCGCCUCUCCACCACCAACACCGACACCGACUCUCUCCUCUCUGUGUAUCCGACAAGCGCUGCCUCCACCGCCGCAGCCGCAAGAGCGACGACGCGCUGUGUGGACCGAAGCUGCUAGUCUCCCCUAACCCGCCUUUCCUUCGCUGCAUAACACGCUCCUCCAUAACCAUCAGUAUCCGAGUGUUAUGAUCAUAUCAGGAGAUAUUGGGGGGAUUUCGGGACGAAAAGACUCUUUACUGGACCUCUAAACAUCCACCGUGCCCUGUCUCCGUCUGCGCUCGUCCCCGGCGCUGCUUUUUACGCAGCGAAGGCGUCGCUGAUUUGCCCGCAAAAGGGAGAAACUCAACAGUUGUUGCUGCUUAUUGUUUGCAUGUCGACGUGCACAUUACUACCAUGUGGAGGCUACUGCAAUCGUGUUGUUGCUGCUGGUGGAUUUUCUCUCUCAUUUUGCCUGCCUUCGUGCUCCUCUGGGCCGAGUGUCAUCCUGCGCUGACAGGAAGCCAAGCCGAGUCCCAAGCUCCUCUCCAAGGCCUUCGCAAAGCUGCGGCCAGCGGGACACGACUCCGGAGAGCCGUCACCGAGGAGACCUACUGGGCCUACUCAGGUUGUUCCUGUGGUGUAUCGCUAACACGGAGGAUGCCCCGUCACUGUGUCCCUGCUCACCGUCUAACCGGCUGGCCUGCUGCUGGGCCCGGGUCUCCGCCUGGGUGUAGCCUGCAGUCUGUGGCUACAGCUAACACACUCGACCCCUCGGCCCGGCUGGUUUCGUAGACUCC
rnacentral:lncRNA from 1 species